UACAGAGGGGGCAAGCGUUAUUCGGAAUUAUUGGGCGUAAAGGGCGCGUAGGCGGCCUUGCAAGUGACGGGUGAAAUCCCUCGGCUUAACCGAGGAACUGCCUGUCAAACUGCAUGGCUUGAGACCGGGAGAGGUGAGUGGAAUUCCCAGUGUAGCGGUGAAAUGCGUAGAUAUUGGGAGGAACACCAGUGGCGAAGGCGGCUCACUGGACCGGUACUGACGCUGAGGCGCGAAAGCGUGGGGAGCGAACAGG
rnacentral:rRNA from 1 species